rnacentral:RNase_P_RNA from 1 species
GCGCCGAGAGGAAAGUCCGGGCAGCUCGAGCCACCAUGCUUCCUAACGGGAAGAGGCUUCGAGGGUAACCGAGAGGUCAUAGAAAGCGCCACAGAAAACAUACCGCCUGCUCCAUGCAGGCAAGGGUGAAAACGCGGGGUAAGAGCCCACGACGCGUCCCGGCGACGGGCGCGAUGGCAAGCCUCAUGGGCUGAAAGACCAUGUAUACCGAUACGCCUCACGGCAGCAGGCCGGCUCGCCUGCACUAUCGGGGGGUAGGUUGAUAGAGACCGUCGGCGACGGCGGCCCCAGAUUAAUGAUAGGACACGACAGAACCCGGCUUACAGGCUCC